CUACAAGUUACAUGCUUUAUUUAAUGCCUGCAAAAGAUAACACUAAUAAUCAGUAACAUUUUAAUAAACAAUAAAAAUGCACUAAUACAAAAAUGAUUCAACAAUGAAUUUGAUCUUAUUUUGCCCCUCUCACACCCCUCUAGGAGCCCCAAAAGUAUAAAAAUAGCUUUAAUUUCACAGCUGAUCUUGAGACCUGCUGGUGUCCAGGUGGAGGUCAGCAGCCCAGUCAAUCUCAGAAGCCUUUUGACUCGCAAGCUGUUGAUAACUUGAUUUGCAGGAUAAAGAAGCUAUUUUGACAUGGAGUCAGCAGCUGACCCACCUUGCUGUUUUUGCUGGCCAGCAGUCUCUGGGCAGUCUACUGUAUAACCACACCAUCUUUUUAGAGUAAAACUGAGAGCACUUGUAGCUCUCAAAAAAUGAAAUUUGAAUGUAAAAUUAUGACACUCAGGGGCAAGUUGAGAAACUAUUAAUUACUCUCAAACACAAUAAAAGUUGCCAUAAAGGCAGUAAAUUAAAAAACAGUUCAAGUUGUUGUGUUGUAUAUGUUUUACUGAUUGCUCUUGUGACUGAUGGAGUUUUCUAUUACUCCAGAUUACUACACUGUGGCAGAAUUGUAGAUUAACGCUGUAAUCUUAAUUCAUAAAGUCUGACAGAAACCCAGUAAAAGAAUGUAAGCUAGUGAUAGGCUACCGUUUUAUGAUUAGAAGACUCCCAAGCAAAAAAAUGACACAACAAGUCAAUUAUUAACCUCAACUUGCCAAAGAUCAAAGUGUAUUGGUUGACCAUAAGUAACAAUAAGACUUUAGAUGGUCUUAAAUUUUCGUGUAUUUCAGGGUGACGACUUCAUUUGCUGUUGGAAGGUAACAUCCCAUACCUGUAAAAAAAAAAUUUAAGUUCAGAGAAUAUUAUAUAAUACGACAAGUUGGACUGUGUGCAACAAAUGUCUGACCUCAGCUUAUCUAACACAUCGUGAGUUUGGUUCACUCACCAACAUCGAGUGGGGUUUUACCACUCAGCAGUUGCCAGUAGUAUGAUGAAUUUCCUGCCAAACCAUUUACACUCUGAAGGAAUGGUCCAUAGUCAUCAUUUGGUAUGUACUGAAAGCUGGAAACAUAGGGCAUGACUUUUUAAAGAGCAAAAUGGACAGUUUUUCAUAUAACUAUGAAAUCCUUUUUAACAAUGCAAAUAGUUUUACUCUCUAUGUUUUUUCACAGAACUCUGCAUUCAGUUAUAAGUUAUUAUUAAUCUCUGGCUCUUUUCCACGGUGCGUCUCUUGUCCUGUCUCCCUCCCCUCACACCCAGCAGGUCACAGCAGAUGGGUCCCCCUGAGCCUGGUUCAGCCCGAAGUUCUUCUCUGUUAAAACUGUCGCCAAGUGCUUGCUCAUAUGGGGCCAUGUGAAAUAUUAAUGAAAGGAAGGCAUUUCUUAAAGCUGUGAUGUGGUUUUUGACUGUGCUGUACAUAUACAGGUUUCUGUGGUCUACUGUAAGAAAAAAAAGUAUGAAGAUUUGUUUUGUGUUUUUUUAAGAUGUCAACAAACAUUACAGGGCACAAUUAGUGAUCUGAAAUUAAAAAUUCACACCCAGAUAUACGGGGUCUCAAUUUUAAUUAAACAUUAAGAGAACAAAAGUAAAUGUAUGGCUUCUUCUAGUAAGGAAAUAGUUGAUGUGAUGGUCUUACUUGAAGCCUUGGUUUGAGUAUUUCAGUCUCGUCAGUCCACCGAAGAGGCUUCCUCUAUAAGCAGUAGAAGUGCUGUAGGUCUUAAUGUUCUUGGGUGACACAUUCACCUGCACUUUGAAGUUAGUG
ensembl:lncRNA